CCGCCACGGCGCGCCGCGCUCGCUUGUUGCUGUUCGGCACGUGCGCGCUGAUGCCGCUACGCCGCUCUGCCGACGCCGCGCCAGCGCCGACUGCGUGCCGCGCGCGACGGCGUGUUCGCUGGGCCGCCACCACGCACUGGUGCGGAUCACCGGCCGUCGCCGCCGCUAAAUGCCGCCGGGAUCGUGAAACAGAAUUAAAAAUACAAAGUGACAGGAAGAGAGAGAGAGAGGACGUCGUGCAAAAAGGGAUUUGGCAAGUGAGAAGCGAGGGGAAAGAGGAAAGAGACACAGGGAAAGGCGCGGGUGUCAGUCGGACUGCGCCUGGGCAGCCGCACGAAACCGACGGUGACCGUGUGCAGAAUUCGUGUGCUGUGGACGCAGGCAAGUCGACAUCUUCGUCGCCGUCGUCGUCUGCUUGUCGGAGCACAUCGCUGGACGUCCUGCGUACCGCUCGGUUCGACAUGACGGUGCAUUUUCAUCGUGUGAUUCUGUGUUUUGUGAAGCUUCUUCGCCGCGGAAAUGAAGGAGGGACUACUUCAAUGUGAGUGCUUGUCCGACUGCGGGUUCGCUGAAAUGCGAAACUUAGCGCCAUGCGCGUUCGACGCGCGCUGGUGAGGGAGGUUGGAACAGCACGUGCCCUCCUGGAGUCCGAACAGGUUGCGGCGGCGGUUUUGCUUCCCCAGUGGUCGUGCGUUUGACGCAUUGGUAGGAAGAAGGUACUGUGUGGUAUUGCGGUGUGACAAAGGUGGUGCGCAGCUCCGGUUGAGUGUGCUCGUUGGCGCCGUCUGGAUAAGGUGAACCGGAGUGAUUCACUGGAAAAACCACGAAGGUCGCGACGACGCUCUGAAAUGGAGUCUGCUGGUGGCCGCCACGUCACAGCUGGCAAGUGCUGUCGGGGUUGCAUCGCGUCACGCAUACGAGUCGAUGCCGGAUCGAAGCUAAGCAAUAUCGCGGGUGCCUGUGGAUUACUUGUCGAAGAGCAGCUCGAGGAAUUUCUGGAAGGCGUGCUUUGCGUGGACUUGGAACUCAGAUCUGCACGGCUGGGGUCGGCACGGUGUGACCUCGCCCACUGUGACAGCAGCCACUGAACGGAGCUUCAGGAGGGAUUUCAAGGACUGCCUGUCGGAAGCGCAACAACAUUGGAUAUACGCACAUACUCGAAGCACUGAUGUGUUCGUUACUUCAUUCUUGGUCCGGGCAUGUAGUGGGACCUUCGCCGUUCUGGAACAGCGCCUGCAGCCCUGCGGUCCAUGUGCCCGCUCACUUCGAGUCCUCAACGUACGUUGGAACUCUUCAGACUGGUCCAAAAGGAGAUUUCCAUUUGCGGUGCUACAACUCCGUGGGCAACAGGAGCGCGCAGCCACUUUCGAGAGGAGAGCUGCCCUCGCCGCCGACUCGGACCGUGCGUCGAGUGAACGUUGCGUUUCUGUGUGCACCUGAAGUGAGGUAGUAGGUUGUAUAGUUCAGAACUACAUCUGCCAAGGAGAGCUAACUGUACAACUUGCUAACUUUCUUCGGGUCAUACAAUGUUCGUCGAGACUGCCUUCACGUUUGAAGACGCGCCUGCCGCCCCGGGCUAAGAAGUUCCUCGCACUUUCUUCUUCUAUAACGUAACGUUCUUACGGUGUCUUCGCUGAUCGUUGUGUCUACAGCCGAGGUAAGUGCAAUUUGCCAGCAUUGUUUUGGCGUUGCCAGUCUCGCGGAGUCCUUUCGGAGUCUGUUCUAACCGAUGUGCGAUUGUCUUUAUGCGCUGCAGCUUAGAAUUUACGACGAGGCCCAUUUGGAAAUUAUUUCUAGUUUGCUCCUAUGAAAUGAAAGUGUGUGGGUAUAGGUUCCUCACACCCUUGUCAGAGUGAUCUUGAUUUUUAUUCGGGAAACGUCAUAGGCGCUUGUUCUGCGGUAAAAGACGUGGCUCAUUUUUAGUACAGAAAAUGGUAACUGAUAGCUUUAUUUCCCUGCCCUUUCUGAAUUCGUCUCGUACCAUAACCGUGGCAGCGAUGAAGUCGGGUGACUUCACAUAUUUCGGGGUCUUUUCGCCGAUUUAAGUGGUCUUUACGUUGCAGAAGUUCUCUAGUUACUUGUUUUCGAAUACUGCGAUACUCAUUCACUUGGCGAACAAUUAAGUGGCCUCAGCUGUGACGCCAGAGGUAUCUUUCGCGGCACUGCGUGUGUAAUCUGCCAGAUAAUGACGUUGUCACUCGGAAGAGUUUUGAGCUUCAUUGAAGUCGAUAUGCGCGUUACAACUCGAGCGCGUUCGAAUCGGGAAGGCUGCCCUCGCGUCGCGUAUAGCUUCUUUGGUGUAGCCUGGCGGGAACCUGGUAACCGAUACCUCAGUCACAUGAACAGUAUCGGCAUCCAUUGAAGCCGAUCUGCAUUGAAUAUUUCGAGCAUGAUUGACCCAAUAACUGAGCGUUUCUAAGUGUAACUGCAUAGAAGCAUAGUAUAACUUGUCUGUGACAUUAGUCUACAUUUACUCAAGCUCGCUCUUAAAGGCCCGUAUGACAGCACUAUAAGUUCAUGUAUUUGUGCAGUGUCCGCUUAAUAAAAGCCAGGCAGGCAAAAUACACCGCGUCUCCCUGCUCACGUUAGCCAAGCUGUUUAACGAAGCAAAUGAUUUUAAAAAGAAGGUGCAAGAUGCAAUUAAAUGCAAUUAAAUACGAUAUUCUUAGAAUAUCGUAUUUAUAUCGAUUUAUAUCGUAAAACUAAAGUAAUGCUUAACAGUCUCGGAAGAGAACAGCAAUUUACAAUAGGCAGCGAGGCACUGGAAGUCGUAAGGGAAUACAUCUACUUAGGGCAGGUAGUGACGGCGGAUCCGGAUCAUGAGACGGAAAUAAUCAGAAGAAUAAGAAUGGGCUGGGGUGCGUUUGGCAGGCAUUCUCAGAUCAUGAACAGCAGGUUGCCAUUAUCCCUCAAGAGAAAAGUAUAUAUUAGCUGUACCAGUACAGCUGUCUUACCAGUACUCACCUACGGGGCAGAAACCUGGAGGCUUACGAAAAGGGUUCUACUCAAAUUGAGGACGGCGCAACGAGCUAUGGAAAGAAGAAAGAUCGGUUUAACGUUAAGGGAUAAGAAAACAGCAGAUUGGGUGAGGGAACAAACGCGAGUUAAUGACAUCUUAGUUGAAAUCAAGAAAAAGAAAUGGGCAUGGGCAGGACAUGUAAUGAGGAGGGAAGAUAACCGAUGGUCAUUAAGGGUUACGGAAUGGAUUCCAAGGGAAGGGAAGCGUAGCAAAGGGCGGCAGAAAGUUAGGUGGGCGGAUGAGAUUAAGAAGUUUGCAGGCACGGCAUGGCCACAAUUAGUACAUGACCGGGGUUGUUGGAGAAGUAUGGGAGAGGCCUUUGCCCUGCAGUGGGCGUAACCAGGCUGAUGAUGAUGAUGAUGAUGAUGAUGAUGAUGAUGAUUUUGCACCGGCUUUCUUUGUGUGCGCGUGUGUGUGUUUGUGUGUGUGUGGGUGUGGGUGUGGGUGUGGGUGUGUGUGUGUUAACAGCUAGAUUAACGUUAGUUGGGGCACCCUAUAUACAGGUUGUUUCAACGCACACUUUCAAAAAUUCUUAAAAAUUGUCUGUGGCGGAUAGCUCAAUCUUGGUCCAUGAGCUGGUAUACUCGAAGAGGCGAGUUGCUUGCACAAAAAAUUGAAAUGCAUAAUCGACUGAAUAACAAAAAUCACUAACGAAGCUUUCAAGUAAUUGUCAUGUGCCACAUAUUGCAACUCACAGAAUUCUAGCGGUUGAGACUGCAAGGCAUAUUCAAUUGAAAAUUAUUGUGUGGAUGAUACCAUUUACGAGAUGUGCACCGUCAGAGUUUCGGCAAAAAUGCGCUGUCGUUUCACUUACUUUCCUAACAAAGCGUUAUUUUAGGCAUUGAAGCGCAAAGUUCGCGAAUUAAUAUCCCGAAACUGGUGUUUUCCUGAGAAUUGGUUCCAGGUACGAUGAUCCGCCUUGCGAACUCCCCAGCUGGAAUUUGUAACUUGCAAUACGUGCCAUAAUGUCAUUAGUUAAGACUUAAUUAGUGAAUGUUUGUUAGUUAGUCGAUUAUGCAUGACAGUUUUUGUGCAAGGAAUAUUCGAGUCUUCGAGUACAGCAGCUCAUGGACUAAAACUGUACUAUCUACCACAGGCGAUGAAAAAAAAGUGUUUGCUGAAAUACCCGGUAUUUAAAAUAUGAUGUUAUGAUCAAGGUCAAUCAACCCUAAGCUUGCCUGGGCGUGACUUCGCGGGGGCGGCUUUAUGCCGAAAAUAUCUGACGAAGUGACGAAGAGCCCCGUUCUCUCCUGUAUACCUGUAUACCUCUCGCUGCUACCCCCCCCCCCCCUCCUGAGGCCGCAUUAACCGGGCCGGACUUUAAUUAAUGAUGCUCGCUCGCGUCGGUUAACGGAAACUGGCCACGGAACACAAAGCGCCGACCUUCCUUUCUCUCUCUCUCUCUCCUUUGGUCACCGUAUGUGCGCGAGUGAGGCCAGCGUCCGAUAAGGUCUCAACAAACGGACGGGCGGCCGCGCUGUUGCACGCACAGCACACGGAGUCCGGCGGCGGCGGUCGUUCUCCCAUCUGGCGGGCAGCGCGUGCUCCCUUGCUCUCUCUCUCUCUCUCACGCGCGCGCGCGCUUUCUUUCGCCUCUCCCUAUCAAUUUCAUAUAAAAAAAGCGCGCACGGAAUCACUUCUAUAAAAAGAACGCGUAAGGUAAAGGCACCUCUCCGCCGCGUUCCAUCUGCCGCCGCCGGCCGCGCCUACGGUCAAGGCGAAGGACUAUCGACGCGCUUCCGUUCGCGCUCGACAAACUCCCUUUUCACCCUCUCUCUCUCUCUCUCUCUCUCUCUCUCUCAUUGAGUUGAGUUUCUCUCUACCGGCCAUCCAGCAGCUCGCGUUUUGUCUACCGGCACAGCUACGCGCAGUCGCCGUUAGCGUCUAAGCUCGACGGACAUGCCUGAAAAGGCCCCAUCUUACAGGGAGGUUAAGCCACCGAUGCCGCGAAGGAUAACGGUAAAUAGUUAUGGUUCCAGUUAUGGUUAUGGUUACAGGGGGACAGGGCAAGGGCAGAGAAGAUGAGGAGAAAAAACGUAUCACGAAAAUGUGCCCGCACAAACACUGUGAAUGCUUAUGACAGCGACCAUAGUUUUUCACGCGCACACGCACACACACCUGUUGGGGCCAGGGUCCAAUAAUUCAGUUUUCUGCGAAGGGACGGUUCUCAAGCUUGUCGAGCGUGGGGUGGAGGACCACCGAAAAGCGGACAAUAAAUAUCACUGAAGGUGCGCAGUCAUCUCUUUGCACCCAUAAACUUCCCAUUCCGUACUUCUGCCCAUUAUGAUGAGGAGUGAGUAUAUAGGCAUUAGUGAAUACUAUACUCCAAGCCGUAGAGAACAGAUGAAAGUUAUAGCGCUCGUCGUGGUAAGCACUGUGGAAGGCGGAGCGUUAGAUGGGGAUCCAGUGAGCAAAGACGGUGAUUUGCGUUUUCUACAAACUUUACCAGAAGAAACUUUGACGCCGCGAUCAGUCCGACACCUCGGGAACAUUGGUCAGCAUAGAUGAUAGCGUAGUUUUCUCAAAUCCAGUACGGCAAGACCUUUUUUCCGAUAUGCAUAAUCAGUGCGAAUUGUAGCUCUUAUAGCGCAAUAUUUUGCUGAAAAUGAUCAAUUUGCAAAUUCACAAAGCCAAAAAGAUGAGUUUUGGGCCAAUCUAGCAUAUAUGCACUACUAAUCGUUCUCUUGCUGGCUGAACCGCCAUACGUGCAACUCCCGUAAGCAGAGAGUUUUAGCGUAUCCUGUAUUCCAGUAUACGCAACGGUAGUUCUAUCCUCUUCUCUAGGGGGCUGUUUCCGCGCUUGAUUAUCGGCAUGAACGGCAACUGUGAUUGAGAGAACUUAGUUUGCUUAGCAAGCGACGGCUUCGAUUGUGCCUUCGUUCGCUAAUUCGUUCGGUAUUGGCAAAGGUACAGGGUACAGGCACUGAAAAGCUUGCAGCUUGCGGCGUAGGACCUUGCAACGUGGCUAGCAUUGCCGCUUUGUACUUCAGUCUCUUUAAAGCCCUACACAGCGCAAAGGCGGUGCGUAUAUACGCUGGAAGCUUACUGCAUUCGGUUCAUUGCCCUUGGGAGAUAGACAGUUUUGAAGAAGCAUAGUAGCGCCAUCACGGGGAACCGAUUCGAAGUAUAGUCGUCCAAAGAAGUCGCGGCCAAUGGCAUUCGCGUUCCGAAAAUUUUUCUCAAUAAGCCUUCCCUGUGCAAUGCCAAGCAAACCUAUGACAGGGCACUAACGCCCAUUGGUAACAUAAUUUGGAAACAAGUUGCAGGCUCAGAAUUAUUCGCACAUUCACAUCACUUGAGCACAAACAUGCUUCAAAUUCUCAAAACAACACAGAUUACGUCGACAACAAAUUACGUGGAAAAAAUAACCAUAUAUACUCCAUUGUCUUUGAGAAUUACUUAAGAACACUCUCUGUUUGAUAAUAAAGCGAAGGAUGGGGUGGUGCUCGUAAACUGGAACUAAAAUAAUUUACACGGCAUUUUCGUGUUCAAACAGAGUCUGCUGGAGACCUGCUUUGGAAACAUUCAGCUUAAUUUAGCACUUAAAGUAUUGAUCGGGGUACCCUCCGUGACUACAUGUGUCACUGUACGACAUUUAGGAAGAGGAUUAUGGCUGAAUGUCCACAGGAGCAUUGCCCGGACAUCGAGUGCAUGACUGUCAUCCCUGAAUUGUGAUGCGAAAAAGUGUAGGAGUUCGCUCUCGUUCGGCUUGUGUCUUGCACACAAUCGUUUCAAGGACUCUACGCUACUCAGGUGCUGCGUCGCAGCACACGAUAGCCAUCGUGCUGGAUGGUGCAGCUAGUAUAAUUUAACCGUAACGAUGAAGCUUGCCGUCAAAUUGUCGUUAAGCUUGCAUGCCCCAUGCGUAUACUAAACAACAACCGGUCUUAUGAAAUCAGGUCGCAUUAGUGAAUAAUAAACAUGAUAUUCGCGAUGCUUCGUGCACCAUUUCAAUGCACGAGCGCUGAUCGUCUGACAGAAGCAGCAUAACUUGUAGAACACCAGUUGAUCGAAAUUUAAUCUAGAGCUCUUCAAUGCGGCGUUACUGGUAACCCAGGUAGUUCCGUAGGUAUAUUCAGCCGCAUCAGUCAAUCAGAGAAGCAGCAUAAGCCAAUUGUAAGCGUAAAACGCGUCGUCCAAAAUAUACGGAAAUGGUCGCGGAAGAUGGAAAGUCAUGGUACAUUCGCCUGGUUCCCACAAUGCUCUGGCUCGGUCGAGAUUAGCACCGGGUCGAGAUUCGAGUCCGAGAAAGCCCGCACGAGACAAAUGUGCAGGCUGCCGCCACAGCAAUCGAACCAGCCACCUGACCGGAAUCCUGUCGCACCUCCAUGUUCUAAGAAAUUGAGAGCACCUCUGAGCGCUCUGAGCGAGCAUGUUCGGAGCGCUCGAUUUCGACCAACCGAAUGCAAAGCGCACCACCGGAGUGAUCCACAGAGCUCUCGAAAAGCAACCAGCUGAAUUCCACCAUUAGCAAGAUCGAGCCCGAACUUCAAGACUUGUCUCCCCGUGACGACAAUUCCCUCUGUCGAAACGGUUGGCUCCGUACUGAGGCUUUCCAUGUCCGCCAAAUUGAACUAAAAUGCGUCACGUUGGAAGGCGUAAACUCGGGCAUGCUCAGAGAUGGACUUCUUUAAUAAAGGAGUAGCGUUUGCCUUUUGAGAGGGUGAGCGUGGCGGUGUUGCAGGUAAGCGGCAUGAAGUGUAGCGGGCAUAUUGCGCCAUGGUACCUGGCGCGGCGGCAUAUAUAGAGGCUGUGGUGUUGCGCUGCUAAGCACGAGGUCGCCGGAUCUAUUGCCGGCCGAGGCGGCUGUGUUUCGACGGGGGCGAAACGCAAGAACGCUCGUGUCCUGUGGAUUGGGGGCACGUUAAAGGAUCCUCCGGUGACCAAGAUUAAUCCGGAGUCCCCCAUGCACUAUACGGCGUGCCUCUUAAGCAAAUCGGGGCUUUGGCACGUAUAAAACUACAAAAAGGGAGGAACGACGCAGCUGUUGCGCGGAAUACAUGCGCAUAGAUCGAGAACACUGGGUAUGUAAAUUGGUAAUUGGUAAGGACACUAUUCUGAAGUUGCAUAGGUCGAGAUUUGUCGCAUACCCCUGUCGGCAGUGUUCUCCAGGAAAGACGCAUUCAUUUUCUUUAGAAAAAAAAAUAUCCGCCGGUCUUUCUAUAGCAGACCUCUGCGUUGACACAUUAUCUCGUGGAGCGAGAAAAUUUCCUAUAUUGGAACGACGCUCAUCAAGGCUAUAUAUUGCGGGCCUCAAAACACACCUUUGCUUCUCGAACUUAGUACAGCUUAUGAGAACACAUGGCUUGAAUAACCGUUCCAGAAGCUUACCCAGCGUGUGCUUAAAUUCAUGAAGUAAGAAACCUCUAAAAACGUGCAAAGACUUGUGAAACGCUUAAUACUAUGAGCAAAGAACCUCAGUCACUUGUUUUUAUGUCCUGUGAGCCUCUUUGUUUUUUUCAAUAGGAACAACCUCGGUCGGCCACCGUUUGAAGACGUAAAGUUACACGGCCUGUUCUGUGAGGCUGGCGUAAAGGUAGGUACGCUUCCAUGGAGGUCUCGAUGAAGAAGCACCGAGAUCUGCGCAGCCACCGGACAUCUUCGUUGCUCAGAAAAGCGACAGCGGCAGCGGCCCUGUUCCCCACUCCCUGAGACCCUUACUUGUGAUGCGUUCUGCGCCGCCUUCCCAGGUUAGGUUCUCAGGCCCUGGGUAACAGUUUGGAGAACGCAGCGGUCGUCACGUUCAACCUGCAGUAGACAAAGCACAAUGUUCUCGUGUCGACGCUGUUCGCUGCAUGUUAUAGCGAUCUGCCUGUAUACACUUUAGGUUUAGAUCUGUCUGUAUGCACUUUCGGUUUAGAUCUGUCUGUAUGCACUUUAGGUAUAGAUAGUUUCGCACAGCAGCGUGUAUGUCUAAAGCACGCAUUCGAGUUACUGCUUUCCCGUAUGCCCUGUAUUUGAGAAAUUUUGGAGGGCUUGAAGCAGUUGUCACGCCUCUGUCCGAGCUAAGCCAAGUGGGUAUAGAGUAUGAAUACUGUUUUAUGUAGGUCAGAGUUGGCAUGGAAAGUCGUAAGGAGGUAGUAAGGGAUGGGCAACGAAAUUGCUAUUUUGUCUAUGUGAUGAUUCUUUUCGUACAAGCCAGAUCACGCCAGAGCCUCCGGACUCGGUGGCACAGAAUCCAUGCAACUGUUCGGAACGUGCCAAUCAGUUCAGAGGACUUGGCUAAGAUCAACUCGGGCUCCCUUGGGCAGCGCAGAGAUCACGCAACGAUAGGCAGCGAAACGGUGUGGGGUUCUUCUACAAGAGCAUAAGUAUAAUUUCAGUGAUUACUCUAGUUUCGAAUAAUUGGCCUAGAAGCUGCUGGACAGUGACGUACGUAUCCUUGCGGUAUCAGCUGCGAUAUUUCUGCUAAUUAGCAUCUCAACAAGUUGGCGCUGAUCUAGGCGACGACAUUGCGACAUAGCCCAACACACUGAGUAGGCAAAUCUGAUGUUGAAUGUAGUCCGUCGUUGAGUAAACGAUUUGUUGCACUGUGGUGAAGACAGCAUCGCCAGCACAUGCAAAAAAAAAAAAAAAUUCAUUCACAGGGUAGAAGGCGUAUAGCAGUUGUUCUAAACUAUAGUGUUUGUUACUGGAGUCGCUUGAACCCUCCAGCCUCGCAUGACCAGCUGGUUAACUUAAGGCUAACUCACACUAGGCCGACUUGACACCGAUUUCGGUGCGCCGACUGUCGGCAGACGCAAAUAGGUGUCGGAUCGGCCUAGUGUGUGUGAGCCUUCAGGUAUAAUUCUGAAAAUCUGUAAAUUGACUCACGUGCUGCGGUCGACAAUGAAUUCAUAUCUUCCGAGUCGAUAGUGCUUAAACAGCUGUUUCCGAUGCCGUAUUUCUGCGCGUGCCUUCAUCUGUAGAUUUCUCGUCAGUAUAGUUAUCUCUCCCAACCUAAUGUUUAUCGCAUAUCAUAAGGCAUGUGCGUUCAGUGACCGUGACCGUGCAAAUUCGUUAACUAUUUGUCUGUUCCUCUCUGUUUAUGUUCGUGUCUGAUUCUCCACGUUGAAUAAAGAAGCAUUGUUGGUUUUUCGGCAUGCGAAUUCUUAACCGCUUUUCAAGCAGUUGAUUUGUUUGUGAAGACUUGAUUCGAGUUUGCUUCUGUGUACAACGCGGUGGGCAUAGGUCAAAUAGUUGGUGCGUUCACGCAAAAACGAGUGUAUGUUUCGUGUUUCAUUUUUUCUUUUUUCGAAUAAAAAGUGUUGCGUUAUA